rnacentral:rRNA from 1 species
GACGAACGCUGGCGGCGCGCUUAACACAUGCAAGUGGAGCGACGAGCCGGGCUUCGGCCCGGGGCAAAGCCGCGAACGGGUGAGUAACACGUGGGUAACCUGCCCCGACGACCGGGACAACCCGAGGAAACUCGGGCUAAUACCGGAUGAGCUCACGCCACAUCAGUGGCAUGAGGAAAGGAAGCUUCGGCCUCCGCAUCGGGAUGGGCCCGCGGCCCAUUAGCUUGUUGGUGGGGUAACGGCCCACCAAGGCUGCGCUGGGUAGCUGGUCUGAGAGGACGAUCAGCCACACUGGGACUGAGACACGGCCCAGACUCCUACGGGAGGCAGCAGUGGGGAAUCUUGCGCAAUGCGCGAAAGCGUGACGCAGCAACGCCGCGUGCGGGAAGAAGGCCUUCGGGUUGUAAACCGCUUUCAGUUGGGACGAAGCUUCGCCGGUGAAUAGCCGGCUGGAGUGACGGUACCUUCACAAGAAGCCCCGGCUAACUACGUGCCAGCAGCCGCAGUAACAC